rnacentral:rRNA from 1 species
GACAGAGGGUGCAAACGUUGCUCGGAUUUACUGGGCGUAAAGCGCGUGUAGGCGGAUUGGUAAGUCAGAUGUGAAAUCCCUGGGCUCAACCCAGGAACUGCACCUGAAACUGCCUGUCUGGAGUAGUGGAGAGGAGAGCGGAAUUCCUGGUGUAGAGGUGAAAUUCGUAGAUAUCAGGAGGAACACCGGUGGCGAAGGCGGCUCUCUGGACACUUACUGACGCUGAGACGCGAAAGCGUGGGGAGCAAACAGG